AGCACAACUUUUAUUCCCGCAGAUAGUCUUAGCCUAGGUUACAUAAAUUAAUGCAUGAAUGCAUGAGCAGCAGCUGCAUGCAAUAUUAUUGAACCCAAAUCACAACAAAAGGAAAACUUAAGACAAUGCCACUUUCGCAGGGAACGCGAUUGCAUUUAGCGUAUGCAACAAGCCUUUUAAACCUAUAGGUGACCCUGAUAGGACGAGUGAAGUCUCGUGAGGGUUUCCAGUGACGCUACCCACAAACAUCGUAUUAACUUAACAGGAUGAUCAUCCUGGAAGUUUUUCGACAAUGAAGAAAUGUUCAUGGGUGGGGCCUCCAGGUUCUGCAAUGAGGGCAUUUUCGAACUCGUUUCCAGAUUUUGGCUUUAAAAGGUUUCCCAUUUUCUCAUGGUGGAACUUGUAUAUGCCUUCGGUGUACGGUCCUGGUGGUUUCACAACCUCAGGCUUGAAGAGUGUACAUGACCACAGCGUUUUAUUUGGCUGUUUCUCGUCAGCCCCGGCCACAAUCCACGAACUGUCUUGGCUUGCCGUUAUCCAGUAUUUGUCGUUGUAGGUGGAUUUUAUAUGCACCAGACUGGGGAGGUUUACGUCCUUCUCCACUUUGAACCUUGCGUAUUUGCUCUGAACAUCCUCUCCGGAGCAUUGGAGAAUAUCUUGCAUCUUUUCGGUGGCUUGGUCUUUGUAGACCAAGUAUUUACCGCUCGUGAAUGAUUUAAGAGCAAUGAACUUUGGUAAUUCUGCCAUUUCUGAUGAUCUCUCGCUCGCGCUUCAAUUUUUUUUUAUGUAAACUCACUUCUCUCUCUCUCUCUCGUUGCUUAUUGCUUUUCCUAACUCCAACCUGCUGUGCUAUUUAUAAUCAAGCAAACCCAAACCCUGCAUGCAGCUCUGGCUUCUUUUUCUUGCUGUACUGGCCCGCGAUAAGAAAAUUGAAGCCACAAAAAAAAAAAGUCGAGCCAGGUGGCAGUUUUGAAAGGUCAAGUAAUAUUGUUCUUGAUAUAAAACAAACUAAAGCGUGCUCCACGUCUUCAAAUAAAACAAAGUUAAGGCUAGUAAUUAUCGACAUCGAUAUUUUGCGAUAUUAUCGUCGAUAUUGUCAAUAUUUAUACGAUAUGUACAUGGAUAUGUUUCGAAAUAUCCGUGAUUCAAAAAAACCGAAAUAUCCUCGAUAUUUCCUCGAUAUUAUCGAUAUUUCAGACUAUGAUGUGAACUUGAUUAUGUAAUUUCUACUACAUGCACUUAUGGGACAUAACCAUUUAUCAAUUAUAAUAAUGUCACAUAAAAAUUGAAGCCACAAAAAAAAAAAAGUCAAGCCAGGUGGCAGUUUUGAAAGGUCAAGUAAUAAUGUUCUUGAUAUAAAACAAACUAAAGCGUGCUUCACGUCUUCAAAUAAAACAAAGUUAAGCCUAGUAAUCUAUUCUCUGUUGUAAUGUGAACUUGAUUAUGUAAUUUCUACUACAUGCACUUAUGGACAUAACCAUUUAUCAAUUAUAAUAAUGUCAUCGACUAGGACUGAACAGCGACGGCUGAAGGCCCAGCUCAUUCUUAAUCUUAGGCAACACAUGUGCUGGGUUUCAUUUCAUAAAUUCAUAACCAAACCAAGCUAGGUCAUAGAAGGAAGCAAAUUAAGCAAUUGAAAUCCACAUCGGCUGAAAAAAUCUCUCUUGAAAAACCAUAUAAUUGGAGGGUCUGCAAAACUAGACUGUGUGUACGUAGCCAACUUUAUUAAAAUGCCAAUUCAAGUCCUAUGAACACACAUUUCCUUGAAAGUUGCUGGCCAAAUUUUCUUUGUUUUGGUUUUCAAUGAGUUCGAUUUCCUUGAGCAUCACUGAAAAGAUAUUAUAUAUGUGAAAUCUUUUUGUCAGUCUUUGAAUUUACCCAAUGUGGGUGAUCAAUUUUUAUGAUUGCAUUCUAGACUUCUCCUUAGUACAAAACAAAACUACGUGAUUGAUUGAAACGUCAUUAAUUAAUUUAGACAUAUAGGCAUUUGCAUUAAUUCAUUCUAGAUAGUAGAUACACAUCUCCAUAACGCAGAAAGAAUUAGCAUGUCCUUAAUGUGAACUUCGUUAAUAAAUUGAAGAGGAGUUGGAGAACAGUUAGAUGAAUGAAUUAAAGAGGAGUUGGAGAGACGCGGAUGCAAGGGCACACUAAGAAAACUACAGGGUUUAUUUAUAGUUUUAGUGCUAAUAAUGGGUAUAUGACUAAAUAUCUCUAUAAAAAAAAUUAGUGAAUUUAAUCAGAAUGUAAUGACUUAUAGAAUUUUACCUUGGGGCACUUUAAGUCCGUUCCUCCUUAAUAAAGCAUCACUUAAUAGAUUUGAAUUAUGAGCUGAACCCUCCCACCCGCUAAAAACGUAAAUGAAUUCUAAAUCAAAGUUACAAGCUACUGAAACCAUUUAUCAAUUAUAAUUAUGUCAUUAAUUAGGAUUGAACAAUAUGAUUGUAAUGCCAUUUCUAAAGCGUGCUUCACGUCUUCAAAUAAAACAAAGUUAGGCCUAGUAUUUUCUUCUUUAUUGUUUCGGUGCUUAAUGUGAACUUCAUUAUGUAACUUCUAUUACUUGUACUUAAGGGCCAUAGCCAUUUAUCAAAUUAUAAUGAUGUCAUUAAUUAGGAUUGAACAACAAGGUCGUUGAGAUGUUUACAUACUUUAAUUACAGACAUAUGAUAAGUUUAGGAGAGUGAUAUGUAGUUUCAAUUAUUCCUUUCACACAUACCCUAAACUUUAAACCCUAAACCCCUUUCUCUUAAGCAAAAUCUAUCGGUUUUGGGUAAGUUUGAGACACUUGUGGACGAUUGUUUUUAAUUUGGACCCUAUGAAAAUACCUGUAGGAUGUCUAUAUAAAUACCUAGAGAAGGUUAAAUAGGCUAAUUCGAUUUUUGCAAUGAAUAAUAAUCAACUUUUGAAGUAGGAUUGAUAUGAGUUAUCAAUCCUGAAAUGUGCAGAGCUUAAAAUAAAAGAACACACAGAUAUUUAUUUUACGUGGUAAAACCCCACAUCUGGGGAAAAUCCACGGGACUCCUUAGUCCAGAACGAAUCCACUAUAGAAUUGAGAUUACAAGAAGUUCUCACACACACUUAUCCUAGACUCAAUGUUUACCGACUUAUUCAUAAUGUUUACCGACUUAUUCAUAACUCAACUUUUGUCAUGGGAUGAUCUUCGACACUCCUUAUGUUGAACGCAAUAUUGGUCACGAUUGCUUCAAGCUCACCGGAGGAUAAACGCCACAAACGUCUUGAUGCCCUUGACCGUAUGAGCCACUGACAUGCAUAUGUAUGCAAUAUGAAUGAUGAAUGAGUUUGAUAAAUCACCAAGCAACCAGGAGCCCUUGAUGACUUACCGAGAAAAAUAAGUACAGUAGCUUUUCCAAAAAACAGAUUCAAUAUGCUCUCAAAAUCAAUGCGUUGAAAUGCUACACUAUGAAAAGAAGACACCUUGGUUUUAUUCAAAACAGGUUCUCUCAGUCAAGAGAAACCUACUUGACCACCAAUCCAAUUCACGAAAGACUUUCAACCUUAUUCAACUACCACACAACAAAACCUGAUGCAAUAUGGACACUAGUUAAACAUGUCAAACAGGAGACCACUCAUACUGUUCAAGCAUGAAUGUUUCUUUUGAUUCAAUUUACAUGCUAUGUGAUGAUGCCAGCUAAUGCACGAUGUGAGGAAACCUCAUGACUUUCUACUACAGCCAAUCCUUUAAAACAAUAUCUACCUAACAAAUUAAUUAGACCGAUCAAGUAGGAAAUAAUAUCAAGAGAUAAAAUAUAAUCUUAUUGAAAAUAGGAUUAACAUAAAAAUACUUGAGUGAAAAUAAUUUCAAUUAGGAGUCCUAUAAUGAAUGCAUGAUUAUGUUAUGAUUUACCUGUUGUCAAGUUUCUCAUAUGGUCAGGUCAUGCCUCGGAAGUAUAGGGUUGAGAGAGUUGUGCCAAAGCGUCCAGUAACAAUUCCUCACAAACUAAUUUUCAACUUAUGCUAAAGUCUAGGAAAUGCCAAUACGAUUUUCGUACUAACACCCUACAAACAAAUAAAUUAAAGAAAAAAAAGUAAAAGAAGAAAAGAAUAUAAAUUCAUAUAUCUCAAUUUCUUGUGUGAAGCUUUUAAAUUCAUUUCAAAACUAAAAUUAAAAUUUAUUUGUUUUGGUUUUCAAUAAGAUUAAGUUGGAUUUCCUAAAGCAUCAUCACUGAUCUGAUGGCAUCAGAUAAGUCUUUGAAUUACCUAAUGUGAUUGAUUGAUUGGAAUGUAUCCUUAAUACUAAAAAAAAACCAUGUGAUCGACACGUCAUUGAGCACUUCCACUCUAUCGGCAAGGGCAAGGCAAGAGCAAGAGUUUAGGAUAAGAUUUUUAGUUGCCACUUGUCCAUAUUUAUUAUAACAUUCACAUCUCAAAUUUCAUAUAAAAUUUUCGAAUAAGAUUUUCGAUUGCCACGUAUCCAUAUUUAUUAUAAAAUUCACAUUUCACUCAUCAUACAAUUGAAAUACUUGUUCACUCAUCAUACAAUUGAAGAUAUCAAGAAAUUUCGAAAAUUGGGCAUCCACUUUGUUUUUUCGAAGACGUUGAGGGAACGGAAUUGGCGGUACAUAUGGCUUUACAAGGGCAGCAGGUUGAGAUAAUUUCUCUACAGUAGCAGGUUCAAUUUCUGGAGAAAUUUCAUCAAGUUGUGCAGUAGUUCCAGCAGUAAUAGACGACGACGACGGCACGUUAGUAAUUUCUGAUGUCUCUGCAGUUUGUUGAUGGAUAUUCUUUUCUUCAUCCAAGUCUACUGCUGUUUUUAUUGGCCUCCCAUUCCAAAGAGUUAUCGCCCUCGCAUGUUCUUGGUUUUUCGGAUUAUUCUCUGUUUGGCUUGGCAAAGCUCCAUUUACUCUUCCUGUCAAUACAUUAGCUAGCUGGCCCAUCUGAACCUCCAAGUUUCGAAUAGAGGCAGCUUGGUUCUGAAGGGUCGUCUCGGUUUUGCUCAUAAAUUGAUUUGUAUUGACAGAGAGAGUGUUGACAUUUCCAGCAAGUUGAGUAAUUAUAUCCUCCAAUCCAUGCUUCUUUUCUUGAGGUGUGAAAUCAGGUGGAGGUCCCUGUACAUUUUGGUUAUUACUCCAUGGAAAAUUCGGAUGGUUCUUCCAUCCUGGGUUAUAAGUGUUGGAGUAAGGAUUAUUCCGUUGUCGAUUAAAAUUAGAGACUUGGUUCACUUGUUCAGAUGGUGAUGUGAAUGGACUAGCUCCACACUCAUUGCCAUGAUGAGGUCCUGCACAAAAUUCACAACUUAAAUUAGUAUACUGAAUAGCAUUAACAUUUAUAGUACCAAGUUGUUUAGACAUAGUAGAAAUUUGCGCAGUUAACGCAGAUAUGGCGUCAAUCUCAUGAAUUCCAGCUUUCUUUGGUGUUGAUCUCUCACUAGGCCAUUGAUAGUUAUUUGACGCCAUCUCUUCCAGCAAGUUAUACGCUUUAGUUUCUGUUUUUCCCAUCAAAGCUCCUCCGGCUGCAGCAUCAAUUGUUGUUUUGCUUGUAUUGUUCAAACCAUUGUAGAACGCUUGAACUUGCAUCCAAGUAGGUAGGGCAUGAUGUGGGCACUUCCUUAGCAUAUCCUUGUAUCUGUCCCAUGCUUCAUAAAAAGGUUCCAUGUCAUUCUGAGCAAAUGACAUGAUGUCAUUUCUGAGUUUCGCAGUCUUUGCAGGAGGAAAGAAUUUAGCUAAAAAUUUCUUGGCCAAGUCGUCCCAUGUAGUAAUCGAAUUAGGUGGUUGAGAAUUCAACCAUGACUUUGCCUUUUCCUUUAAUGAGAAAGGAAAAAGCCUUAAGCGAACAGCAUCAUUGGUAGCUCCAUUGCGCUUAAAUGUGUCACAUAUCUCCAAGAAAUUAGAGAUAUGCCUAUUAGGGUCUUCUUGAGGUAAACCACAAAAGAUGGAGGAUUGUUGAAUCAUUGAAAUUAUGGCUGGUCUGAUUUUAAAAUUAUUGGCAUCAAUGGUUGGACGACGAAUGCUCGAUGGUGAUGCCACCACAGAUGGGACAUCAUAGUCCCUUACUGGUUUUGCUUCCACAGCCAUAGGUGAUGGCUUUUCCAAUAUUGCGUCCUUGCCCCUUUUGAGUUUGUUAAGCUUGUGAAGUGUUCGCUCGAUCUCUAGAUCUAAUGGUACAAGCACAAGACUCUGCGAACGUCUCCCAAAACUCAUGCACUAGGUGAAGUACCUAAAAAAACAAAAAACAAAAUUCAAAUUAAAAUUCAAAUCAAUCUAUAUCGAUAUUAAUAAAAUUUAAAACACUCUCCGACGGCGGCGCCAAAAACUUGUUGUGAUAUUUAUUGCAAGCGCACAAUUCGCACAAGUAAUAUAGUGAUGAGUGAAGUGUCGUUCCCACGAAGAGUGAUUUAAUUUAACAAGUACCGAUUGUGAUUAACCCAAGACUUUAUUUGAACAAUUGAUGAUGAGAUUUGAUUGAUUAAUUAACUAAAACAAUGAAUAAAAACAAGCGUAGAAAAAUAAAGUAGUGAGAUUCAAGUUAUGAGAGCACUAGAGCUUCCGAUUUCACCAUAGCCAAUUCUACCCAAUUCCUUUAGCAUGUUAAUCCUAAUUAUUCUCUAUGUUGACAGUUGAUUUUCCCUACUUUAUUCGAUACUCCAUCCCUGGUUAUACCAAAAGUAUUCUUAUUACCAACCCACUCUAUCCCUAGUAAUGGAAUUAAGAUAAUAAGAACCCAUUAAAUUCCUUGGAAAACCUACAAAACAACCACAUAAGUCAUGACAAACAUCUCUGUCUAAUCAUGUAACUCAUGACAUCUAUUACAAGAAGCAACCCCAAAUUGGAUAUUCCUAUUUUCAAUUUAGCAUCAAAACAAUUAAAUGUUGGCCAAACAUUCAAAGCAUUAAGCAUGGUAAUAAAUACUCAACAUGGAAAAAAUACUUGGAAUUAACAUCGACUAAAGUAAUUGAGCAUUCAUGGCUAGGCUACAUCGUAGCCCUAGCAAGAAGAAAUUAGUUCAUGACAACUUUAAUAAAAACCAUGAUAAAUAGUAUCAUAGGAAAGAAGUAACCAAUUGAAGAUUUGAUCUCUGCACGACAGCAACUCUAGCUCCAGGUUGUCUUCUUUGUCUCUCUAAAACUCUCUCAACAAUAGAUGAUGGGUAGAUGAUGGAGGAUGGAUGAUGGGUAAUGGAUCCUUUCAACAAUGACCUAAACUCCCUAUUUAUAAAACUCCUAGAAAUCCUACCUAAAGAAUAAUUACAAUUGUUAUAAAAAUAGGAUUCCUUCUAAAAUAAGGUCUUCUUUAUUUCUCCUUGUUUAACUUGAUAAGACUUGCACCAUCUUGAACUAGGAAAUUUGACAACAUUCCUUGCAACAAAAGGAAUGACUUGGCUUCUUUUUUUAUUGAUUUUCAUCUCCUUGCCUUUUUUAGCACACUUUCUCCUAUUUCACAAUUCCUUCACAAAUCUCACAAAACUAAUUAAAAACAACCAAUUUAAUCCAAGAAAUUAAUAAAUAAAUAAGCAAAGGAGGCAUAAAAUAUAUAUAAAAUAUAGACUUAUCAAAUACCCCCAAACCUGUCUUUUGCUAGUCCUCGAGCAAAACUGAAAAUCAAAAAUAAAUUAAAACAAACAAACUAAAUUAAACCACUUUUGCAGGUAAUCUCGAUGGCACUUAGCAUGUGCCACAAGCCUUUAAACCUCUAGGUGCCCCUAGUAGGAGGAGUUGUGUCUCUUGAGGGUUUACCAGUCAUGACACCCACAGACACUUCUUGCAAAACAAAUUCGUUAAAGCAAUACUUCCAACAAACUAAUAAUAACCAAUGAAUGCUAAUCACAAUUCAAAAACUAAAGUUAUGCCACUACAAAUAAAAUGCACCAUAGUGUAAAGUGUAAAGUGUAAAGCCAAAAAUCCAACAUUGAAACAUAAAGAUAACCACAUUAGGCGUGUGUACAAAUUCGUCUCGACUCUAGGCCUUACUGGAUAACUCUCAAUUUUCUCACAGAACCUAGGGUUGCACUCUUACCCCGCAUAUGUGAAUAAAGUUAGGUGAAGAAUUCAAAAUAUAAGACACAUAUGCAUCCAAGAAUCAAUAAAAGGAAAUUUCUAACAAUAGAUCUCAUGGAAAGGAAAUCAAAUACUAAAAACCAUAGAUGAAGUACAUACCUCUACUUCCGAGUAAGAAGUCCCCAAAAAUCCGUUAGGUCUUUACUAUGGUUGUAAUGAAGGGCUAGGUUAUGGGUUAUGAAAGAAAAGGAAGGAAAUACUAGAACUUGAGACAUGCCAAGGCAUUUAUCACGUUAUAAGGCUCGGCUCUUCAAAUUUACUUCACAGAGGCGUCCAGGAUUUUUGAUAUGCUUCACAUUUUUUUUUCUUUAAUAGAUUUCUCUUUUUUUUUUUCCUUUCUUUUUAUUUAUUUAUUUAUUUUUAAGCACAUAUUUCCUCGGUACACGCCACCUCUUUUGUUAAUUUAGAGAUUAACCUUCAUCCUUGUCUUCAUGCCAUGGCAUAUCCCAAGUUAUAGGGUAUGGCUAAAAAUAGGGUGAAAAGGGUAAGAAAAUAUUGUGGGUGAUGAAAGAAAAGGCUAAGUGUUUGGCUUCAAAGGGUUGAUGGCACACACAAUGGGUAGGACAUGAGUUUUUAUUUAGUGGCUAGAACAUGCAUAGCCUAACAUCAUUUCUCAAGGUCCAUCCAACUCAAAAGUAAAAGCAUGAGAUGAUUCCAAAAUAGAGAGUAGUUCUUAGUAUUCAACUCAAAAGCCUAAUUGAGAUCAAUUUAAAUAAGAAAGAAAGAAAAUAGUGAAUAAGACUAAUCCCAAAUACUCUCUCAAUGAAUGGCAAUUUGGCUCAAGUAUCUCACAAUGGUAGUCUCCACUAUUUCUCCACAAUCAUCCAAGUAUAGCUAGCUUGUCUAUUAAAAUACUUGAAGCAUGGCCAUGUGAAGUGCUAUACUUAUGAUGCAUAAACUUUCAUGGCAACACUUUAGUUAAAGAAAUAUGAUCAAACAUCACAUAUACAUCACUAUUAGUAAGAGAAAGUAAAAGCUUUAACAAAUUUUUUUUUUUUUUUUAAAAAGUUAAAGGCAUUUUGUGAUUUUUUUCAAACAAAUGUGAGUGAAUUUAUGGGCCAUAAUUGCUUAGGGAUAAAGAAAUUUCAUCAAAAGGAAGAGGACACACCUGGAAUAGCUCCUAGAAACCUCUGAUCACAAAUGGAAUGGAUCAUAAUUGAUUUGGAAUGAAAUUAGAAAAUUCUGGAAAAUUGACCUUUAGCGACGAAAAAUCUGAUGAAACACCGUCGCUAAAAACCCUUUUGUGACGAAAAAUCUUCAUAUUCUGGGUAGGUAGCAGCUAGUCUUUUUUGGGUUUUAGGCCACUUUUUUAGCUUCAAAUCUCCCUAAAACGUCAUGUAAAGCACUUGAGACCCCCAAAACAGUUUCAAAUCAUCAUAAUAACCAUUCUAAACAUGUUGGUGGCUUCAAAUUUGCCUGAAAAACAUCAAAAAGGAAAAUAUGUAAAAUUUUUAAUUUUGACCAAAAUAAGAACAUAAUAACCUAUUUUGCUAUUUUCUGGGUUUUAAAGUCAUCUAAUGGCCAAAACAACAUCUGGAACAUGUUUGCAAUCAUCACGGGGCUAGAAAAAAUCGAGAAAUGUUCUUUGAAACACAAAAUCCUUUCUUUGGAACACAAAAUCUUUUUUUCUUUUUUUUUUCUUUAUGACUCAAAACUCAAACAAAAAACAACUAAACUCCACACCCCCAAAUCUAAAUUAAGCAUUGUCCUCAAUGUUUAAAGUAAAUGCAUGUAAAAAUUAGUAAAGGCAUAGAAGGAUGGAAAAUAAAGGGAAAACAAAACAAAAUAAAAUAAAAAGGAACGAAGGUACCUAGUUGGGUUGCCUCCCAACAAGCGCUUGAUUUAUAGUCCCCAGCCCGACUUGCGAGGUCAUCACUUUGGAUCAUGUAGAGGAAUGAAAGUUCGCUGUUGAUCAAAAUUGACUUCCAAGUAUGGCUUCACUCAUUGGCCAUUUACUUUGAAAAUAGUACCUUGUUCGUCAUGCCUAACCUCAAUAACUCCAGAAGGAAAUACUUGCACUAUUGUAAAUGGUCCAGACCAACGUGAUUUCAACUUCCCGGGAAAGAGUCGGAGGCGGGAAUUAAAUAGGAGAACUUUCUAACCAGCGAAGAAAUCCUUCCUUAGAAUAUGCUUAUCAUGCCAUUUCUUUGUACGCUCCUUGUAUAUCUUGGAAGUCUCAUAAGCUUCAUUACAAAACUCAUCCAUAUCAUUCAAUUGAAUUGCCCGUUUUUCUCCUGCUGCAAUCAUGUCAAAAUUGAGUGUUUGGAGUGCCCAAUGUGCCUUAUGUUCGAGCUCAACCGGUAAGUGACAAGCUUUCCCAAAAACUAGACGAUAAGGAGACAUGCCAAUUGGUGUUUUGAACUCCGUUCGAUAGGCACAUAAGGCAUCAUCCAAUUUCAGUGACCAAUCCUUUCUUGAAGCACUCACCGUCUUUUCCAAAAUUCGUUUUAAUUCUCUAUUGGAAACUUCAACUUGUCCACUAGUUUGUGGAUGAUAGGGAGUAGUAACCUUGUGGGUAAUACCAUAUUUAGCUAAAAGAUAAUUAAAUUGACGAUUGCAAAAGUGUGUACCUCUGUCACUGAUGAUGCCACGCGGAGUCCCGAAUCUGGUGAAAAUAUUUUUUUGGACAAAUUUGACAACCACCUUGGCGUCAUUGGUAGGGAGAGCGACGGCUUCAACCCAUUUCGACACAUAAUCAACAGCCACCAAUAUGUACUUGUUCUUCCAAGAUUCAGGGAAAGGUCCCAUGAAAUCUAUUCCCCAGACAUCGAACAAUUCAACCUCUAGAAUAUUAUUCAAUGGCAUCUGAUUUCUGCUAGAAAUAUUUUCAGUGCGUUGGCAUCGAUCACAGGCAGCUACAAAUGCAUAGGCAUCCUUGAACAAAGUUGGCCAAAAAAAUCCAGAUUGUAAUACCUUGGCUGCUGUUUUGGAGGCACCAAAAUGCCCCCCACAUGCCAAUGUGUGGCAAUGUCGCAAUAUGUCUUCCAUCUCCUCCUCAGGCACACAUCUCCGUAUAACUUGGUCAGGGCAAUGUUUCCACAAAUAUGGGUCGUCCCAAUAAUAAUGUUUAACCAAGGAGAAAAACUUCUUCUUCUGAUGAAACGAUAAAUCAGCUGGAAUGAUAGUACUAGCUAAAUAAUUCACAAAGUCAGCGUACCAAGGAGCUUCGGAUGAUCGAAUGGCAUACAAGUGUUCAUCAGGGAACAUCUCCAUAAUGGGUGCAGCAUCAUCACUCAUCUUUACCUCACUGACCAGCCGCGAAAGAUGGUCAGCUACCACGUUUUCGGACCCCUUUUUGUCUCGAAUUUCAAGAUCAAAUUCUUGGAGCAGUAGUACCCAGCGAAUUAAUCGUGGUUUUGCAUCUUUCUUCGAAAGUAAAUACUUUUAUCCAAGGAGAAGAUUACUACUAACAAUUCUUUCUCCGUGGUGGUAUAAUUCCGCUGGGCGUCAUUCAAAGUACGACUGGCAUAAUAAAUUACAUGAAGUAAUUUAUUUCUUCUUUGACCCAAAACUGCCCCUACCGCAUAGUCACUAGCAUCACACAUAAUCUCAAAAGGCAAGUCCUAAUCCGGUGCGACAAUGACAGGUGCAGAAGUAAGCUUCUCUUUCAAGACAUUAAAAUUAAAUUCUACAUCUUUAAGAAGGAGAUUGCAUAAGGGCUUCGUGAUUUUGGAAAAAUCUUGGAUAAACCGCCGAUAAAAUCCAGCAUGACCCAGAAAGCUUUGAAUCCCCUUUAUUGUAGUGGGCGGUGGCAAUUUCUCUACGGUAUCAAUUUUUGCCUUAUCAACCUCUAUGCCUUUAGCUGAAAUUUUAUGCCCUAGGACUAUCCCUUCUUGCACCAUAAAAUGGCAUUUCUCCCAAUUCAAAACCAAAUUGGUUUCUUCACAUCUUUUCAAAACUAAUGCCAAAUUAUGUAAACAAGAAUCAAAUGAUGAGCCAAAAACAGAAAAGUCAUCCAUAAAAACCUCAAUGAAGCGCUCCACCAUGUCCGAAAAGAUGCUCAUCAUGCAACGUUGAAAGGUGGCAGGGGCGUUACACAACCUGAAAGGCAUGCGCCUGUAUGCAAAAGUGCCGAAUGGGCAUGUGAACGUCGUCUUUUCUUGAUCUUCAGGUGCAAUUGGAAUUUGAUUAUACCCAGAAUAUCCAUCUAAAAAACAAUAAUAUGAAUGCUCAGCAAGUCUUUCCAACAUCUGAUCAAUGAAAGACAAGGGAAAGUGAUCUUUCCUUGUCGCAGUGUUCAAUUUCCUGUAGUCUAUGCAGACAUGCCAUCCUGUAGUUGUUCUUGUCGGGAUCAACUCAUUCUUAUCAUUUUUCACCACUGUAAUACCCCCUUUUUUCGGUAGGACUUGAACUGGACUCACCCAACUACUAUCUGAAAUCGGGUAAAUUAUUCCAGCAUCUAAUAACUUUAAUAUUUCAGCUCGCACAACUUCUUUCAUAUUCGGAUUUAAUCGACGCUGAUGCUCAACUGAAGGUUUAAAAUCAUCUUCCAUCAGAAUACGGUGCAUACACAUGGAACGGCUAAGUCCCUUAAUAUCUGCAAUAGUCCACCCUAUUGUCGUUUUAUGCUCCCUCAAAACUCAUAGUAAUUUAUCUUCUUCUAGUUUACUCAAAUUUGCAGCAAUAAUCACAGGAAGAGUUUCAAAAUUACCCAAGUAUGCAUAUCUUAAGUGGGAAGGUAGGGGCUUCAAUGUGAGGGUUGGUGCAGUAAUGACACUGGGUUGUGGCUUGGAGGUUGUGACGCUAAGCUCCUCAAAUUCGCGCCACCUUCCAGGGGGGCGCGGUUUCAUUGCUUCCAAAAAGUACACCAUCUCAGAAAUUUUAGGAUCCUCAUGCUCAGUAGUAACGGAAUGCACAAGGCAAGCCUUCAAUGGAUCAUAUGGAUGUUCUUCUUUAAAUUUUUCAGAGACAACUUUUUCCACUAUAUCCACUCGGAAGCAAGAGUCUGAUUCCACUGGGUACUUUGUUGCUUCAAAGACAUUGAAGGUCACCUGCUCAUCAGCCACUCGCAAAAUUAAUAAACCUUUGUCCACAUCAAUUAAUGUCUUCCCGGUUUUUAGAAAGGGGCGGCCUAAGAUAAUAGGGGUUUCGGCAUCUUCUUCCAUGUCUAAAAUCAAAAAAUCUGCUGGAAAAAUGAGCUUAUCAACUUUGACUAACACAUCCUCAAUUAUGCCUUUGGGAUAUGUUAUGGACCUGUCCCCCAUCUGCAAAGAAACAGUGGUUGGGUGAAUUACCCCCAACCCAAUAUGUUUAGCAAUAGAAGAAGGCAUUAGAUUAAUACUGGAUCCUAAAUCACAUAAAGCUUUUUCAAAGUAAGUGGUUCCAAUAGUGCAAGGUAUAGUAAAACUCCCUGGAUCCUUUAGCUUAGGUGGUAGCUUCCUCUGCAAAAUAGCACUGCAUUCUUCGGAUAAUUUCACUAUCUCAUGUUCGCCCAAUUUCCUCUUCUUUGAUAUAAUAUCCUUCAUGAAUUUGGCAUAACUCGGCAUUUGCUCCAAAGCAUCGGCAAAAGGAAUAUUUAUUUGUAAUUUCUUGAAGAUAUCAAGAAAUUUCAAAAAUUGGGCAUCCACUUUGUUUUUUCGAAGACGUUGAGGGAACGGGAUUGGCGGUACAUAUGGCUUUACAAGGGCAGCAGGUUGAGAUAAUUUCUCUACAGUAGCAAGUUCAAUUUCUGGAGACAUUUCAUCAAGUUGUGCAGUAGUUCCAGUAGUGAUAGACGACGACGACGGCACGUUAGUAAUUUCUGAUGUCUCUGCAGUUUGUUGAUGGAUAUUAUUUUCUUCAUCCAAGUCUACUGCUGUUUUUAUUGGCCUCCCAUUCCGAAGAGUUAUCGCCUCCGCAUGUUCUUAGUUUUUUGGAUUAAUCUCUGUUUGGCUUGGCAAAGCUCCAUUUACUCUUCCUGUCAAUACAUUAGCUAGCUGGCCCAUCUAAACCUCCAAGUUUCGAAUAGAGGCAGCUUGGUUCUGAAGGGUCGUCUCGGUUUUGCUCAUAAAUUGAUUUGUAUUGACAGAGAGAGUGUUGACAUUUCCAGCAAGUUGAGUUAUUAUAUCCUCCAAUCCAUGCUUCUUUUCUUGAGGUGUGAAACCAGGUGGAGGUCCCUGUACAUUUUGGUUAUUACUCCAUGAAAAAUUCGGAUGGUUCUUCCAUCCUGGGUUAUAAGUGUUGGAGUAAGGAUUAUUCCGUUGUCGAUUAAAAUCAGAGACUUGAUUCACUUGUUCAGAUGUUGAUGUGAAUGGACUAGCUCCACACUCGUUGCCAUGAUGAGGUCCUGCACAAAAUUCACAACUUAAAUUAGUAGACUGAAUAGCAUUAACAUUUAAAAUACCAAGUUGUUUAGACAUAGUAGAAAUUUGUGCAGUUAACGCAGAUAUGGCGUCAAUCUCAUGAAUUCCAGCUUUCUUUGGUGUUGAUCUCUCACUAGGCCAUUGAUAGUUAUCUGACGCCAUCUCUUCCAGCAAGUUAUACGCUUUAGUUUCUGUUCUUCCCAUCAAAGCUCCUCCGGCUGCAGCAUCAAUUGUUGUUUUGCUUGUAUUGUUCAAACCAUUGUAGAACGCUUGAACUUGCAUCCAAGUAGGUAGGGCAUGAUGUGGGCACUUCCUUAGCAUAUCCUUGUAUCUGUCCCAUGCUUCAUAAAAAGGUUCCAUGUCAUUCUGAGCAAAUGACAUGAUGUCAUUCCUGAGUUUCGCAGUCUUUGCAAGAGGAAAGAAUUUAGCUAAAAAUUUAUUGGCCAAGUCGUCCUAUGUAGUAAUCGAAUUAGGUGGUUGAGAAUUCAACCACGACUUUGCCUUUUCCUUUAAUGAGAAAGGAAAAAGCCUUAAGCGAACAACAUCAUUGGUAGCUCCAUUGCACUUAAAUAUGUCACAUAUCUCCAAGAAAUUAGAGAUAUGGCUAUUAGGGUCUUCUUGAGGUAAACCACAAAAGAUGGAGGAUUGCUGAAUCAUUGAAAUUAUGGCUGGUUUGAUUUCAAAAUUAUUGGCAUCAAUGGUUGGACGACGAAUGCUCGAUGGUGAUGCCACCACAGAUGAGACAUCAUAGUCCCUUACUGGUUUUGCUUCCUCAGCCAUAGGUGAUGGCUUUUCCAAUAUUGCGUCCUUGCCCCUUUUGAGUUUGUUAAGCUUGUGAAGCGUUCGCUCGAUCUCUAGAUCUAAUGGUACAAGCACAAGACUCUGCGAACGUCUCCCAAAACUCAUGCACUAGGUGAAGUACCUAAAAAAACAAAAAACAAAAUUCAAAUUAAAAAAAUUCAAAUUAAAAUCCAAAUCAAUCUAUAUCGAUAUUAAUAAAAUUUAAAACACUCCCCGACGGGGGUGCCAAAAACUUGUUGUGAUAUUUAUUGCAAGCGCACAAUUCGCACAAGUAAUAUAGUGAUGACUGAAGUGUCGUUCCCACGAAGAGUGAUUUAAUUUACCAAGUACCGAUUGUGAUUAACCCAAGACUUUAUUUGAACAAUUGAUGAUGAGAUUUGAUUGAUUAAUUAACUAAAACAAUGAAUAAAAACAAGCGUAGAAAAAUAAAGUAGUGAGAUUCAAGUUAUGAGAGCACUAGAGCUUCCGAUUUCACCAUAGCCAAUUCUACCCAAUUCCCUUAGCAUGUUAAUCCUAAUUAUUCUCUAUGUUGACAGUUGAUUUUCCCUACUUUAUUCGAUACUCCAUCCCUGGUUAUAUCAAAAGUAUUCUCAUUACCAACCCACUCUAUCCAUAGUAAUGGAAUUAAGAUAAUAAGAACCCAUUAAAUUCCUUGGAAAACCUACAAAACAACCACAUAAGUCAUGACAAACAUCCCUGUCUAAUCAUGUAACUCAUGGCAUCUAUUACAAGAAGCAACCCCAAAUUGGAUAUUCCUAUCGUCAAUUUAGCAUCAAAACAAUUAAAUGUUGGCCAAACAUUCAAAGCAUUAAGCAUGGUAAUAAAUACUCAAGAUGGAAAAAAUACUUGGAAUUAACAUCGACUAAAGUAAUUGAGUAUUCAUGGCUAGGCUACAUCGUAGCCCUAGCAAGAAGAAAUUAGUUCAUGACAACUUUAAUAAAAACCAUGAUAAAUAGUAUCAUAGGAAAGAAGUAACCAAUUGAAGAUUUGAUCUCUGCACGACAGCAACUCUAGCUCCAGGUUGUCUUCUUUGUCUCUCUAAAACUCUCUCAACAAUAGAUGAUGGGUAGAUGAUGGAGGAUGGAUGAUGGGUAAUGGAUCCUUUCAACAAUGACCUAAACUCCCUAUUUAUAAAACUCCUAGAAAUCCUACCUAAGGAAUAAUUACAAUUGUUAUAAAAAUAGGAUUCCUUCUAAAAUAAGGUCUUCUUUAUUUCUUCUUGUUUGACUUGAUAAGACUUGCACCAUCUUGAACUAGGAAAUUUGACAACAUUCCUUGCAACAAAAGGAAUGACUUGGCUUCUUUUUAAUUGAUCUUCAUCUCCUUGCCUUUUUUAGCACAUUUUCUCCUAUUUCACAAUUCCUUCACAAAUCUCACAAAACCAAUUAAAAACAACCAAUUUAAUCUAAAAAAUUAAUAAAUAAAUAAACAAAGGAGGCAUAAAAUAUAUAUAUAUAAAAUAUAGACUUAUCACUAUAUAUAUAUUCUUUACAAAAAUUUAAAGCUCCUUAAAGCCCAUAGAAACCGGUAAAGUCACAGUUUUUUUGACUUUUGAAUAUGGGCAAUACACGAGAAGAUGGACAGUAUUUUGAUAACUCUGUUUAGACUAAAAGCUAAGGACUGUCUAUUAACAAAUAAUUCCAACAUGCAACCUUUUUAAUUAGUCUACUUCCUGAUUGCAGAUGGGGAAGAACUCCACUUAAUGAAGCCCGCAUAGGUGGAAAUAAGAAACUAAUCAAACUGUUUGAAGUUGCUAGAACUUUGUAGUUGUCAGAGUUAUCUAAUCAAUAUCAUCAAGAAAUUAGCUAGCUAAGCAUUUCUCUGAUCAAAAUGAUAAAUUGUCGAUCGGCAAUACAUUUAUCCUUUGAUUAAAUGAUAAAUGUUUAUAAGACUUGGAACAAAAGUUCUGAGAUGUUAUAUGUGUGAAUUUUGUUAGAAUCUUUAAUUCUCUUUUCGAUUUUCUAAUAUGCGUACCUUGGAAAAUAUGAAUUGAACUAUUAUUAUUGUUGAUCUGACUUGGCAAUUCUCAGCGUCAAUUAUUCUUACUAGGCUUGUAAUAAUCAAGGAUCGAGUAAUUAAUUAAUUAAAGCUCUUGAAUCAUGGAAGUAAUGCAUGAAUGCAUCAAGUAAUCCGGAUCAGAAUAGUAAAACCAAAGAAGCACAACUUUUAUUCCCGCAGAUAGUCUUAGCCUAGGUUACAUAAAUUAAUGCAUGAAUGCAUGAGCAGCAGCUGCAUGCAAUAUUAUUGAACCCAAAUCACAACAAAAGGAAAACUUAAGACAAUGCCACUUUCGCAGGGAACGCGAUUGCAUUUAGCGUAUGCAACAAGCCUUUUAAACCUAUAGGUGACCCUGAUAGGACGAGUGAAGUCUCGUGAGGGUUUCCAGUGACGCUACCCACAAACAUCGUAUUAACUUAACAGGAUGAUCAUCCUGGAAGUUUUUCGACAAUGAAGAAAUGUUCAUGGGUGGGGCCUCCAGGUUCUGCAAUGAGGGCAUUUUCGAACUCGUUUCCAGAUUUUGGCUUUAAAAGGUUUCCCAUUUUCUCAUGGUGGAACUUGUAUAUGCCUUCGGUGUACGGUCCUGGUGGUUUCACAACCUCAGGCUUGAAGAGUGUACAUGACCACAGCGUUUUAUUUGGCUGUUUCUCGUCAGCCCCGGCCACAAUCCACGAACUGUCUUGGCUUGCCGUUAUCCAGUAUUUGUCGUUGUAGGUGGAUUUUAUAUGCACCAGACUGGGGAGGUUUACGUCCUUCUCCACUUUGAACCUUGCGUAUUUGCUCUGAACAUCCUCUCCGGAGCAUUGGAGAAUAUCUUGCAUCUUUUCGGUGGCUUGGUCUUUGUAGACCAAGUAUUUACCGCUCGUGAAUGAUUUAAGAGCAAUGAACUUUGGUAAUUCUGCCAUUUCUGAUGAUCUCUCGCUCGCGCUUCAAUUUUUUUUUAUGUAAACUCACUUCUCUCUCUCUCUCUC
rnacentral:lncRNA from 1 species